rnacentral:rRNA from 2 species
GGGUGACUGCGUACCUUUUGUAUAAUGGGUCAGCGACUUAUAUUCUGUAGCAAGGUUAACCGUAUAGGGGAGCCGCAGGGAAACCGAGUCUUAACUGGGCGUUAAGUUGCAGGGUAUAGACCCGAAACCCGGUGAUCUAGCCAUGGGCAGGUUGAAGGUUGGGUAACACUAACUGGAGGACCGAACCGACUAAUGUUGAAAAAUUAGCGGAUGACUUGUGGCUGGGGGUGAAAGGCCAAUCAAACCGGGAGAUAGCUGGUUCUCCCCGAAAGCUAUUUAGGUAGCGCCUCGUGAAUUCAUCUUCGGGGGUAGAGCACUGUUUCGGCUAGGGGGUCAUCCCGACUUACCAACCCGAUGCAAACUACGAAUACCGAAGAAUGUUAUCACGGGAGACACACGGCGGGUGCUAACGUCCGUCGUGAAGAGGGAAACAACCCAGACCGCCAGCUAAGGUCCCAAAGUCAUGGUUAAGUGGGAAACGAUGUGGGAAGGCCCAGACAGCCAGGAUGUUGGCUUAGAAGCAGCCAUCAUUUAAAGAAAGCGUAAUAGCUCACUGGUCGAGUCGGCCUGCGCGGAAGAUGUAACGGGGCUAAACCAUGCACCGAAGCUGCGGCAGCGACACUAUGUGUUGUUGGGUAGGGGAGCGUUCUGUAAGCCGUUGAAGGUGGCCUGUGAGGGUUGCUGGAGGUAUCAGAAGUGCGAAUGCUGACAUAAGUAACGAUAAUGCGGGUGAAAAACCCGCACGCCGGAAGACCAAGGGUUCCUGUCCAACGUUAAUCGGGGCAGGGUGAGUCGACCCCUAAGGCGAGGCCGAAAGGCGUAGUCGAUGGGAAACAGGUUAAUAUUCCUGUACUCGGUGUUACUGCGAAGGGGGGACGGAGAAGGCUAUGUUGGCCGGGCGACGGUUGUCCCGGUUUAAGCAUGUAGGCGGAUGUUCCAGGUAAAUCCGGAACGUCACUAACGCUGAGGUGUGAUGACGAGGCACUACGGUGCUGAAGUGACAAAUGCCCUGCUUCCAGGAAAAGCCUCUAAGCAUCAGGUAACAUCAAAUCGUACCCCAAACCGACACAGGUGGUCAGGUAGAGAAUACCAAGGCGCUUGAGAGAACUCGGGUGAAGGAACUAGGCAAAAUGGUGCCGUAACUUCGGGAGAAGGCACGCUGAUGGUAGGUGAAGUGACUUGCUCAUGGAGCUGAAAUCAGUCGAAGAUACCAGCUGGCUGCAACUGUUUAUUAAAAACACAGCACUGUGCAAACACGAAAGUGGACGUAUACGGUGUGACGCCUGCCCGGUGCCGGAAGGUUAAUUGAUGGGGUUAUCCGUAAGGAGAAGCUCUUGAUCGAAGCCCCGGUAAACGGCGGCCGUAACUAUAACGGUCCUAAGGUAGCGAAAUUCCUUGUCGGGUAAGUUCCGACCUGCACGAAUGGCGUAAUGAUGGCCAGGCUGUCUCCACCCGAGACUCAGUGAAAUUGAACUCGCUGUGAAGAUGCAGUGUACCCGCGGCAAGACGGAAAGACCCCGUGAACCUUUACUAUAGCUUGACACUGAACACUGGUCCUUGAUGUGUAGGAUAGGUGGGAGGCUUUGAAGUGUGGACGCCAGUCUGCAUGGAGCCAUCCUUGAAAUACCACCCUUUAAUGGCUGGUGUUCUAACGUGGGCCCCUGAUCGGGGUUGCGGACAGUGUCUGGUGGGUAGUUUGACUGGGGCGGUCUCCUCCUAAAGAGUAACGGAGGAGCACGAAGGUCAGCUAAUCCUGGUCGGACAUCAGGAGGUUAGUGCAAUGGCAUAAGCUGGCUUGACUGCGAGCGUGACGGCGCGAGCAGGUGCGAAAGCAGGUCAUAGUGAUCCGGUGGUUCUGAAUGGAAGGGCCAUCGCUCAACGGAUAAAAGGUACUCCGGGGAUAACAGGCUGAUACCGCCCAAGAGUUCAUAUCGACGGCGGUGUUUGGCACCUCGAUGUCGGCUCAUCACAUCCUGGGGCUGAAGUAGGUCCCAAGGGUAUGGCUGUUCGCCAUUUAAAGUGGUACGCGAGCUGGGUUUAGAACGUCGUGAGACAGUUCGGUCCCUAUCUGCCGUGGGCGCUGGAGAAUUGAGGGGGGCUGCUCCUAGUACGAGAGGACCGGAGUGGACGCAUCACUGGUGUUCGGGUUGUCAUGCCAAUGGCAUUGCCCGGUAGCUAAAUGCGGAAGAGAUAAGUGCUGAAAGCAUCUAAGCACGAAACUUGCCCCGAGAUGAGUUCUCCCUGACUCCUUGAGAGUCCUGAAGGAACGUUGAAGACGACGACGUUGAUAGGCCGGGUGUGUAAGCGCAGCGAUGCGUUGAGCUAACCGGUACUAAUGAACCGUGAGGCUUAACCUU